UUCCCCUAGUAACUGCGAGUGAAGCGGGAAAAGCUCAAAUUUAAAAUCUGACGYGUCUUUGGCCGUCCGAGUUGUAAUCUGGAGAAGUGUUUUCUGUGUUGGACCGUGUACAAGUCCCUUGGAAUAGGGCGUCRUAGAGGGUGAGAAUCCCGUCUUUGACACGGACUGCCAAUGCUCUGUGAUACGCUCUCGAAGAGUCGAGUUGUUUGGGAAUGCAGCUCAAAAUGGGUGGUAAAUUCCAUCUAAAGCUAAAUAUUGGCGAGAGACCGAUAGCGAACAAGUACCGUGAGGGAAAGAUGAAAAGCACUUUGGAAAGAGAGUUAAACAGUACGUGAAAUUGUUGAAAGGGAAACGCUUGAAGUCAGUCGCGUCGUCCGGGACUCAGCCUUGCUUUUGCUCGGUGUACUUCCCGGUUGACGGGUCAACAUCGAUUUUGGUCGGCGGACAAUGGUGGGGGGAAUGUGGCACCUUUGGGUGUGUUAUAGCCUCCCGUCGGAYGCGUCGACUGGGAUCGAGGACCGCAGCACGCCUUUUUGGCCGGGGUUCGCCCACGUAACGUGCUUAGGAUGUUGGCAUAAUGGCUUUAAGCGACCCGUCUUGAAACACGGACCAAGGAGUCUAACAUGCCUGCGAGUGUUAGGGUGGCAAACCCUUGCGCGCAAUGAAAGUGAAAGUUGGGACCUCCGUCAUGGGGGGCACCGACGCCCGGCCUUGAACUUCUGUGACGGUGCCGCGGUGGAGCAUGCAUGUUGGGACCCGAAAGAUGGUGAACUAUGCCUGAAUAGGGCGAAGCCAGAGGAAACUCUGGUGGAGGCUCGUAGCGAUUCUGACGUGCAAAUCGAUCGUCAAAUUUGGGUAUAGGGGCGAAAGACUAAUC
rnacentral:rRNA from 1 species